GCUUCACCACAUCACCAAACAACAUCACCAUCAACCAUUCACCUCAUUCUUCUCAUCCUCAAUCAUCACCGUAAAACAUACUUCCCUCCAUCACUAACCCACACCAAAACUGCUUCUUCCAUUAACACCAUCCUCACCGUAACCUCACCCUGUCCGAUUCCCUCUCUUCGUCUUCAGCUUCACCGGCAACCCUUCUCUACCGUUUCUCAACCAAUCGCUCAUCCCGCUUCUUCCGCCACCGAUUCUAAUUCCACUUUCACUUUUGCUACCACUUCCAAUCUCACUCCCAAAGUCGUCGUCACCAGAGAACGCGGCAAAAACUCCAAGCUUUGGCAUAAAAUCAUCCAACGACCCAAGUCUUUUAAUACCCAUGCAAUUCUUCAACAACCCAAAUCCAAUAUCCAUUUUCCCGUUUCCGAGUCGACUCAACGAAAAUCCCGAGUCACGACUCAACCCCACUCGCUCUCACCGGGGUCUUCAUCUUCUUCACAAUCUCCACCAUGA